AACGAACGCUGGCGGCAGGCUUAACACAUGCAAGUCGAGCGCCCCGCAAGGGGAGCGGCAGACGGGUGAGUAACGCGUGGGAAUCUACCCAUCUCUACGGAAUAACGCAUGGAAACGUGUGCUAAUACCGUAUACGUCCUUCGGGAGAAAGAUUUAUCGGAGAUGGAUGAGCCCGCGUUGGAUUAGCUAGUUGGUGGGGUAAAGGCCUACCAAGGCGACGAUCCAUAGCUGGUCUGAGAGGAUGAUCAGCCACACUGGGACUGAGACACGGCCCAGACUCUGACGGGAGGCAGCAGUGGGGAAUCUUGGACAAUGGGCGAAAGCUUGAUCCAGCCAUGCCGCGUGAGUGAAGAAGGCCUUAGGGUUGUAAAGCUCUUUUGCCAGGGACGAUAAUGACGGUACCUGGAGAAUAAGCCCCGGCAAACUUCGUGCCAGCAGCCGCGGUAAAAC
rnacentral:rRNA from 1 species